rnacentral:rRNA from 1 species
GGAGGUCCCGCCUGCCCCGUGAUAUAUAUUUAACGGCCGCGGUAUUUUGACCGCGCAAAGGUAGCGCAAUCACUUGUCCUUUAAAUGAAGACCCGUAUGAAUGGCACGACGAGGGCUUAACUGUCUCCUUUUUCCAGUCAAUGAAAUUGAUCUUCCCGUGCAGAAGCGGGAAUACAACCAUAAGACGAGAAGACCCUAUGGAGCUUUAAACAAAAAUAGAUCUUGUUAAACAANUCUAACUAAAGAAAUGAACNUAAGAGAAUCCUAUCAUUNAUGUUUUUGGUUGGGGCGACCGCGGGGAAACAAACAACCCCCAUGUGGACUGAGAAAACAUUACUCACAACAAAGAGCUACAGCUCUAAUUAACAGAAUUUCUGACCUUUAAGAUCCGGCAAUGCCGAUCAACGGACCGAGUUACCCUAGGGAUAACAGCGCAAUCCUCUUUAAGAGUUCAUAUCGACAAGGGGGUUUACGACCUCGAUGUUGGAUCAGGACACCCUAAUGGUGCAGCAGCUAUUAAGGG